rnacentral:rRNA from 1 species
UACAGAGGGUGCGAGCGUUAAUCGGAAUUACUGGGCGUAAAGCGUGCGUAGACGGCUAUCUAAGUCGGGUGUGAAAGCCCCGGGCUCAACCUGGGAAUUGCAUUCGAGACUGAAUAGCUAGGGUACGGUAGAGGGAAGUGGAAUUUCCGGUGUAGCGGUGAAAUGCGUAGAUAUCGGGAGGAACACCUGUGGCGAAGGCGGCCCCCUGGUUGGAUACUGACGCUGAUACGCGAAAGCGUGGGGAGCAAACAGG